rnacentral:rRNA from 1 species
AGACGUCUACAUUAGACUACCCCUGUAGUCCCAGCCGUAAACGAUGCGCGUUAGGUGUAUCGACGACCACGAGUCGUCGAGGUGCCGAAGGGAAACCGUGAAACGUGCCGCCUGGGAAGUACGGUCGCAAGGCUGAAACUUAAAGGAAUUGGCGGGGGAGCACCACAACAGGUGGAGCCUGCGGUUUAAUUGGACUCAACGCCGGACAACUCACCGGGGACGACAGCAAUAUGUAGGCCAGGCUGAAGACCUUGCCUGAAUCGCUG